rnacentral:lncRNA from 1 species
CCUUAUAACUAAUAGAAUUCCAAAACUACUGUAUGACUAUAUGGUUUAACUGCAGAAUUAAUGCUUCAGAGAUAUCUACUUUAUGCAAAGAGCUUUCUUGUAGUGAGGUUUCUUUCUUUUCUUUUUUUUUUUUAAUAUAGAUUAGAUGGUCAAAACAUGACUUUAAUUACAUAAUUUUCCCAGAAACAUCAAAUUAGAACAGUUUCCUCAAGAAAAGAGAAAAAG